GGGGAAUAUUGGACAAUGGGCGCAAGCCUGAUCCAGCCAUGCCGCGUGGGUGAAGCAGGCCUUCGGGUUGUAAAGCCCUUUUGUUGGGAAAGAAAUCCUGUCGGCUAAUACCCGGCGGGGAUGACGGUACCCAAAGAAUAAGCACCGGCUAACUUCGUGCCAGCAGCCGCGGUAAUACGAAGGGUGCAAGCGUUACUCGGAAUUACUGGGCGUAAAGCGUGCGUAGGCGGUUCGUUAAGUCUGUCGUGAAAGCCCUGGGCUCAACCUGGGAAUUGCGAUGGAUACUGGCGAGCUAGAGUACGGUAGAGGACGGUGGAAUUCCCGGUGUAGCGUUGAAAUGCGUAGAGACCGGGAGGAACACCCGUGGCGAAGGCGGCCAUCUGGACCAGUACUGACGCUGAGGCACGAAAGCGUGGGGAGCAAACA
rnacentral:rRNA from 1 species